GCAGGAUUCUGGCGAGAUGCUGGCAGGAAAGCAAGCACUGCAAUAGAAGAGUAAUUGUCAAAUAAUGACAUGUCAAAGCCCAACUUUAACCAGGUCUAAAACAUGUAGUACGUGCGACUGUAGAUACUUUGAUGUGUUUCUUUGGGUCUAGGAAAGAAAUUAAUAACCUACUGUAUCUUGUAUAAGCAAUGCAGGGGGGAAUUUGGACAAAAUGAUGUAAUGUUUUUGAAAGCAUGACAAGAAAAUUAAGGAUGAAGAAACUCCAGAAUGACUUUCAUGAAUGAAAAGAACCUGUAAUUGUUUUCCAUCCCUUGACAGAUGUUACUUAAACUGACAUACUAUAUCAUGUAAUAAAGCUCACGGGGGAAAUACAGAAUUAUGAGCAAAUGUAUAAACCACUAUCUUUAUUGUAAAAAAAAAAUCUAUUCUUCACAAAAAGACAAAAAGAGGAGGGAUGCUUUUUAGGAAGAACUUGAUGUAGAUUGCUAUAAAAGCAUUUUCAGGAGUGUAUAAGCACAAAUGAUCUAUUAUAAAGGAAGAAAUAAUUUUAAAAUAACAGAGAAAUUUCCAUCGUAUCCCAACCACACACAACUUUUCUGCAUCUCCUCCUACCAUUGUAAUGCCUGUGAGACUUACUCAUUUAUUAAAGUGAAACCAAGAGAAUUCUCUCCUGCCUUCAUCUGUGUGGAGAAGUAGAAGAAUGACAAGGGCUGGAACUGGCUGUUGUUGAGAAAUGGCGGGUGAAGAAAUGAGUUUUCUGUCAUUGUACAUAUUCUCGGGUCACUUCACAGGGAACUUUACAGCCAUGGAAAGCUGCAAAGAAUGGGGGUGUACACCCCUCGCCAUCUUUGCUUCUGUGUUUGACAGUUCCUUGGUUUCAAGGUGUGUGAAGAAAGUGGAAUGGAGGCAUAGGGAGCAGGUAGAUCUCUCAGGUACCCCAGACCUGCCCUAGUACCAUAGGGCAGCCUUUUAGGUUUCAGUCACAAUGAAUGACAAGAUCUCAGGAAAGCAGGGCUUUUGCCAACUUCUUUUACAGAACAAGUGUAGCACUGUAUUGAACAAAUGAAACUAUAGAGAAGGCUCACAGGUUUCAUUCCGAGGUACGGUCCUUUAAAGGAAUGAGGUCUAGAACGUAUGGUUUGCCAUCUCCAAGUUCAAGUCUUGUUUGAUGUGUGCCUCUCCCUGAUCUUUGGCUUCAUGUUAAGUACAAAGCUGCCACCGCAGAGUUACUGAGUAAUGGUGAUGAAUAGGCAGAGCGUAGCAGUAGACAGAUGAUAAAGCAUUUUCCCCAGAGUCAAAAGUGGUGUCUAGGGCACACUUUACCAAUUUGGCUUUACACACACUGCUGAUACCUUUUCAAAGGUUUAAUCUCAACUGUUUUUGAGUGGUGUGGGUGCUCUUUCGUGCUGAAGAAGGAAAAGACUUCCCCUUGCUUACUUUUGCCGUAGGAGACAUUAGAUGUUAAACAAAGUAAAAAGAAAGGCAUUUUAACAGAAGACUCAGAAGUAUUUAAUUUCUUUCUGCUUAUCAACAUUGGCUUUUUGAUGAAUUAUGUGAACUUCUGGGCAAAGAGUGAUCAUUAAUAGCAGUAAGUUGUUAGCAUUUGCCAGAACUUUGAUAGACAUGAAUGGUACUAGGGCUCUGUCUUGCCAUUAAUCCGCACUGAUUUGACACUGAUACACUGAAGCAACAGAAAAAAAAAAAAAAAAAUCUGAAGUAUUCAUCAAUAUUAAAAUACCUCCAAACAUUUCCAGACCUUCAUAUUUGGAAAGCCUCCACGGCUCCCAUUUCAACCACCACACCGUGUUGGCUUCGGAGAGGCUGCGUAUUGACAUUUUGCAGAACAGCCUCUAAUCGUCUGAGGAAGCUCUGGAUUGAGAUUAGUAUCCACAGCAGACAGGGAUCUACAGACACUGCUGUGGGUGAGUAAUGCUGCGGGCGCUCGUCCCAGCUCAGGAAUGAGUGGAAUGCGCCCCUUCUGCAAGGUGUGGGUGAAAUAACAUCACUGGCGUGGAAGUGGGGAGCUGAAGGAGCUGACUGCAGGGAGAAGUUCACAGGCAUGUUUCUGUAUGCACGGAAUGGCUGGUUGGCCUGGAAAAAAAAAGAGAAAGAAAGAAAAAUAAAGUGAGAAAAAAAAAAAAAAGAUCGGGAGCAGAUAUUUUAAUUAAUUAGCGCAUUUAUUUGCUUCUGUUAGCAUAAAUAAUCACCUUAUUGCAUCACACAGAAAGUCAGAGGAACGGUUCCACUUGGAGCCACAUGCAAAAACUCAACAUAACAGCGAUAUUCUAUGAGCACUCAUCAUGAAUUUCUUUGUUUGAUGAACCACUUCAGCAAACCAAAUCCCCGACUUUCAAUUUCUGCUUAUCAAGGGCUCACCUCAACUACAGCUGAGACAAGAACGAGUUAGCUUACGACAGACCGCGCAAGACAUACGUUUUCCGUUAACGACCGGCAUCAGCGAGCAGCCUGCCCGAGAGCCGGGGGGGGGACCUCCUGGCAAGCAGGGAGCCACCCGCUGACUUAUCCACGGAGGGACCCGGGGCCGCGUCCCUUCUCUCGCUGCCUGCCGCCGUUCAGCCCCCCCUCGGGGCGGCCGGGCACAGGUGUGACGGCAGGCCGCGUCUGGCGCCAGGAGGGGGAGCUCCGCGCAGCGCCCGCGGGCGGCACCUGGCAGCCUGCUCGCCCCCCCAGCUCCGCAGCCCGUGCCAGCGUUCUGGGGGCUGUUCGCUUACGUGCUGACUGGAAAACUGGGCCUUCUCACUUGUCUCGUCCGUGCCAGUAGGCAGCGGUGAGGAGAAACGCGUGGCUGACAAUAUCGAAGAGCUACGCGUUAAUGAAGACCAGACAGAAGAACUUGGUUACGGCCGAGAGUUGCUUCCUUGUUCUUUAAAAAGCCCUUUUGUAAGAGUGCCCUUUAAAAACAUGUACAUACUAAUAAAUCGGAACGCGAAUAAUAGAAUAUAAAUUCGAGCUGGGGCAAUUAAUUUAAGGCGACUUGUUCACACCUGUCACUCGAGAGUUGUUUUCCAGAAGUUCACAUUACUGUGCUUGCAAAAACUCAAGUGCAAAUUUAGAGCUGGGAAUGCAAAGCCUCAAUAGGAUGAAACCACCCAGCUUGGCAAACUGCUGCGUGCGUGCAACACUGGUUUGGGCAAUGGAAGAAAAAGCUGGGGCUUUUCUGGGACCCAGACGCAGCAGGGACCCGGAGUUCAGCCUCACAGGUGUCUUCGUGUCCACCAAAAGACGGAUCACAUCGCUUUUUUUUCUUCCCAGCUUUGGAAGUAAGAGAUGAUCUAAGCAAAAAACCCACAAAACUCUUCAGCAGAUAAAGCAGUAAGAGUCUAUGGACGGCACUGCAACUGGGGCUCACUGUGGGGAGCCUGAAGUUCCCAGCCUCCUUAAAGAUGAGUUACAAUAAGGAGUAUCAUCUUUUUUUCCUCCUUACUUCGAAAAAAAAUCUUAAUUUUGCUUCAGAAAAUGGGAAUGUAUUUGGAAAAGCUUCCUUUUUUUUUUUUUUUUUUCCAAAGAAAAAUGGAAUCAUUUCUUUCCAAUCCACACUAAAUAAUAGAAUCAACAAAAAAUCCCCUCGAAUAUUUCACCAGGGGAAAAAAAAACCUUCACUGAUUUCCACAGGGUCAGGAUUUUAUCUUUGGCUGAUAUCUGCCUACCGAUGCCACAUUGCUCUGUACCUCUGCCUGGUAGAACGAACAAGAACUGUGCUACCGAUCCGAUCAGCCACCCUUACUGACCUCUUUAAGAUGUUAUCCAGAAUCCAUAUUGAGCGCUGCUGAACCAGGUUUCCUUAUCAGAAAUAUAGGCUUUCACACAAGAAAUGUGUGCUGUCACAGUUCAGUAGAUGUAUUUAACGUUAGGUACCUACGAGUGUCAGAUGGUGCCUAAGCAUUCUGAAUGCAUGAAAUUCAGUCUUGACAGUUGCAUGAACUUCCGUCUUGACGGUUGAUGGUCCUCCAUAUGUUGCCACUGGAAGAACAACUUCUGAAGAAUAUGUAAUAUAAUAAUACGUAUUAUGUAAAGGUAAUAACAGCUCUAGAAAAUGAGGAGAUGUGACAGCUGCAGAAAUAACGUGCUGUCAGACAGAGAGACCUGGACCCAGAGAGGUAGAACUUUUGUACCUGUCCAAAGUCUGUAGUAGAUACCAAAAGAAAAAAGGAUACAGUGAGACCGUGGCUUUUAGCCAGUUGUUGAUGAGGUUCUGAGGGACCGUGGGCUGUUUUUAGGAGCUUACUAAAAGUAGCUGAGAAAACUGAGCCUACUGUCAGGAGACACGAGUGAACAUCUGCAUUCAAAAGCCUUCGCGGUGAGCGUUUGGGAAAAGAAGUCUGGAAGUCCUCGGUUUGGGUGAGCAAGAAGUGAGGGUCAGAAUUCAGAACUGGGAGAGGUGUUCUAUUUUCAACUACCAACUGUUAGUCAGGAAGAGGAAUGUCAAAUUUGAUCCUGAAGACGCUCUCUGUAACCUGCUGAAGCCCAUCCGCAGCGUUUGGGCUGGCAGUUACAAAGUCCCUUCUGACAUUAAAGGGAAUUCUGUUUAUGCUGGGAGUUUAGGAUUAAUCUUUCUGUCAAAUUAUCAACUCGAACUGUCAAAUUGAUGCAGCGCAACGGCACUUCAUUACAAAAUCUAUAGCAAGCGUUGCAAACAAGUAGUCUAUUAUGUGUUUUCAGAUGUUUCACUAAACAAUAACCAUUCAGGGCAACAUGGUUAUUCUGUGUAGCAAAAGGUCCGAGAUUUUCACUAAAGUUGUGUUAUCAGCACUACGGAGAAACCAGUGAUGUGUCCCUAAUGCAAAAAUUCAUUUUGCCUUCUUCCUCAGAGUGAUUUCGUGAAUGAGCAAGGUGCUGGUGCCUCAGAGCAGGAAGGUUCUGUGAGGUUGGCUCUCAGAGCUUUCAAACCUGCAGCUCUGACGCUACACGACGGUGCUUAUAAGCAACUUCCCCUCGUGCUGCCUAUCCCGUCCCUGCCAUGGGAGAGAGAUGCUGAGAUCCUGGGAGCACCUCUUGCGUUUGAUGAGAGGUUGCGCACGCGGACUCAUCGGUAACAGAAUCCUGUGAAUAGAGAAGAAGGACGUGGUUGCUGCUGGUGGUGCGGUGCAGCAGGAGGAAGCCCCGUAUUUUUGGAGCUUACCUGUGGAGCUGCGAGUUAGGUCCCAGAAGGUUCAGAAUACAUUACAUUUUAAACAUACAACAGGCAAGAAAAGACUAAUCUUGCACACGAAGGGACCUGGUGUUCCCAGCUUUGGAUUCUCUCGUGCUGCCAGGGGAGAAGCAGCACCUCGCCUGGCCGCGGCCGUGACCCCGCUGCUCUGGAGCGCGCUGGGAUCCCUCAGCGGGCUGAGGGCUGCUGCUCUCCCGCCAGUGACGCUCUCUACUCUCGCAGCUGAGGCCACACAAAACCCCGCUUUCUUCCCAUUCCCGGUGCCACGGGGGGUUGCGCUCCCCGUCCCUCCCCACUGUGCCCCGGCAAGCGAGGCUCCCUUCAGCCCUGAAGCGAUCAAAGGAGUUUUGCUCAGUAUUGCGCUCAGAAAACCACCGGCUGUUUUGCGAAGUGUAAACGAGACGUUCUCGCACGCAGCACCAACUGAUUUCUGUCGGACUCAGCCGGGGUUUCGCGAGGAGUCCGUUCAUCCCCACGUGGAACUCACUUCACCCAUCUUUCAGCCGCUCUCCCUCGAAAACGCGCCGUUUCACGCCGCAGCGCGACCCGCCCGUACGAUCGCG
ensembl:lncRNA